AUAAAUUUAUUUUUCAUAAAUCAAAUUUAUUCAGCCAGAAAUAUAAAAACCGAAAUUAAAUUCAUAAUAUUCUUAUCUUUAUUAUCUUUAGGUGGACUACCACCAUUCCUUGGAUUCUUACCAAAAUGAAUUGUAAUACAAUCGUUAAUAGAAAACAAUAUAACAACUAUUAUAACUAUUAUAGUUGUAUUAACUACAAUUACACUCUACUACUAUAUACGUAUUAGAUUCUCAGCUCUAAUUAUAUCAUACACAGAAAAUUCGUGAUCUAUAAAGAUAAAGUCCCAAAAAUCAAGAAUCAUUCUUCCUAUAACAGUAAUAAUUUCAACAAUAGGAUUGAUCUCAACAUCAACCUUAAUUUCAUUAUACUAAGGACUUAAGUUAAUCAAACUAAUAACCUUCAAAGUUAUAAUUAAAAGAAUAAUCUUUUAGGCCUUAGUAAAAUUUUACACCUCUAGAAUUGCAGUCUAGAAUCAUAAUUGAAUAUAAGACCUAAAUAUGAUAAGAGAGAAAACAUCUCAUAAGUAGAUUUACAGUCUACCACCUAAAAUUCAGCCAUCUUACCGCAAAAAUGAUUAUUCUCAACAAACCAUAAGGACAUUGGCACUUUAUAUUUUCUAUUUGGAGCAUGAGCAGGAAUAGUAGGAACAUCAAUAAGAAUACUUAUUCGUGCUGAACUUGGUCAACCAGGAUCUCUAAUUGGGGAAGACCAGAUUUAUAAUGUUAUUAUUACAGCUCACGCAUUCGUAAUAAUUUUCUUUAUAGUAAUACCUAUUAUAAUUGGUGGAUUUGGUAAUUGACUUGUUCCACUAAUAAUUGGUGCACCAGAUAUAGCAUUUCCACGAAUAAAUAAUAUAAGUUUUUGAUUACUACCACCUUCACUAACCCUUCUUCUUACAUCUUCUAUAGUAGAUAAUGGUGCUGGUACAGGAUGAACAGUUUACCCUCCUCUAGCAGGAGCUAUUGCACAUGGGGGUGCAUCUGUAGAUCUAGCUAUUUUUUCACUACACUUAGCAGGUGUAUCAUCUAUUCUUGGUGCAGUAAAUUUCAUUACAACAGCAAUUAAUAUACGAUCAGAAAGUAUAACUUUAGAUCAAACACCUUUAUUUGUAUGAUCAGUAGCUAUUACAGCAUUACUUCUCCUUCUUUCACUUCCAGUUUUAGCAGGAGCUAUUACUAUAUUAUUAACAGAUCGAAAUUUAAAUACAUCAUUCUUUGACCCAGCAGGAGGGGGUGACCCAAUUCUAUAUCAACAUCUAUUUUGAUCCUUUGGACACCCAGAAGUUUAUAUUUUAAUUCUACCGGGGUUCGGAAUUAUUUCACAUAUUGUAUGUCAAGAAAGAGGAAAAAUUGAAUCAUUUGGAACAUUAGGUAUAAUUUAUGCUAUACUAUCAAUUGGACUAAUAGGAUUUAUUGUAUGAUCACAUCAUAUAUUUACAGUAGGAAUGGAUGUUGACACACGAGCAUAUUGUACAUCAGCAACAAUAAUUAUUGCUGUACCUACAGGAAUUAAGGUAUUUAGAUGAUUAGCUACAUUAUAUGGAACUAAAUUCAAGUUCAAUCCACCAUUAUUAUGAGCUCUAGGAUUUAUUUUCCUAUUUACAAUUGGUGGAUUAACAGGAUUAGUAUUAGCAAAUUCAUCACUUGAUAUUGUAUUACAUGAUACAUAUUAUGUAGUAGCCCACUUUCAUUAUGUAUUAUCUAUAGGAGCAGUAUUUGCAAUUAUAGGAGGUGUCAUUCAAUGAUAUCCACUAUUUACAGGAUUAACUAUAAAUAAUACAUGAUUAAAAAUCCAAUUUACAAUUAUAUUCAUUGGAGUAAACUUAACAUUCUUUCCUCAACACUUCCUAGGAUUAGCAGGAAUACCUCGACGAUACUCAGACUACCCAGACGCAUAUACAUCAUGAAACGUAGUAUCAAGAAUUGGGUCUACAAUUUCUAUUGUAGGAAUCAUUAUAUUCAUUGUAAUUAUAUGAGAAAGAAUGGUUACAAACCGAGCAAUUAUAUUUAGAGCUAACAUAAGAAGAUCAACAGAAUGACUACAAAAUAACCCUCCUGCAGAACAUAGUUACUCAGAAUUACCAUUAAACUCUAGAU